UGUUGAAGAAACGAUUUGGGACGUUCAGACGUUGUCUUCUCCGUUGUGAUUCAAUCGUUCAUUUUUAGUAACGAAGAGGUAGUUAAUUAAUAACAAUGUCGUUAGCUGACGAAUUGUUAGCGGAUUUGGAGGAGAAUGAUGAUGCUGAUGCAUUUAUGGAUGAUCCAGAAGCAGAUUUUAUUCCACCGAGUAUUGUGCAGCCUAUGGAAGAAGACAUCAAAGUCGCAUCGAUUCGAGAGUUGGCGAAACUCCGGGACUCCCCGGAGCUUCAAAAAAUAAUGUCAGAUAUUGAGAAAUACUCAAAAAUUCCGAGGAAUUCAAAAGAUAUAAUGGGUCCCGUGGAAUCGGAUGCAGAGUAUCAAUUAAUUGUCGAAGCAAACAACAUGGCGGUCGGAAUAGACGAUGAAAUAACAACAGUCCAUCGUUUCGUCAGAGAUAAGUAUUCAAAGAGAUUUCCUGAGCUGGAAUCGUUGGUCGUGGGACCCCUGGACUAUGUGAUGACAGUCAGAGAAUUGGGAAAUGAUUUGGAUCGAGCCAAGAACAAUGAGAUUCUCCAGCAGUUCCUGACACAGGCGACAAUUAUGGUUGUUUCUGUGACUGCAUCAACGACUCAAGGACAACUUCUCAGUGAUGAGGAGAAAGAUGCCAUUUGUGAGGCCUGCGACAUGGCUGUAGAAUUGAAUAAUUGUAAAUUGAAAAUUUUCGAGUAUGUGGAGAGCAGGAUGGCAUUUAUUGCGCCAAAUUUGUCGAUUAUCAUUGGUGCUUCCACCGCUGCAAAGAUCAUGGGAGUCGCUGGAGGACUAUCGAAGCUGUCUAGAAUGCCUGCUUGCAAUGUUCUCGUUCUGGGAAGCCAGAAGACUACACUCUCUGGGUUCUCACAAACUGCAGCUCUACCUCAUACGGGAUUCAUUUAUUACUCGGAUAUUGUUCAGGACACACCACCGGAUUUAAGAAGAAAAGCAGCGAGACUCGUUGCUGCAAAGAGCGUGUUAGCAGCUCGAGUGGAUGCUUGUCAUGAGAGUAGUGAUGGUCAGAUUGGCCGAUCCUUGCGUGAGGAAAUAGAAAAGAAAUUGGAUAAAUUUCAAGAACCACCGCCCGUGAAGUUCAUCAAACCUCUACCCAAGCCAAUUGACCCUGGCAGGAAGAAGAGGGGUGGUAAGAGGGUUCGUAAAAUGAAGGAGAGAUAUGCCAUUACGGAAUUCAGGAAGCAUGCAAAUAGGAUGAAUUUUGCUGAUAUUGAGAGUGAUGCAUAUCAAGAGGAUUUAGGUUACACUAGGGGGACAAUUGGCAAAGCAGGAACUGGCAGAAUUCGGCUACCCCAAAUAGACGAGAAAACCAAAGUUCGAAUAUCAAAGACCCUCCAGAAAAAUCUACAGAAACAACAACAAUGGGGUGGAAGUACAACGGUCAAGAAACAAGUAUCUGGUACAGCUUCUAGUGUCGCCUUCACUCCCUUACAAGGGCUGGAAAUCGUAAAUCCACAGGCUGCUGAGAAGAAAGUUAACGAGGCCAAUGCCAAAUACUUUUCCAAUACUGCUGGCUUUUUACAAGUCAAAAGAACAUAAGACUUAUGAAUCAAGUCUACAAAAUUUGUUGAACUCGAUUGAGUUGCUGGAGAUGGAGCAGUGGUUCCAGUAAUUUCGGUAGAUUGAUAAGCCAAGUUUUUGAAUUGUCCGAGAAUGUGAGAAUAAAAACUCUCAAAAUUAACGUGGAAAAGGAGAUCAGAGACGUGGACACUAGUGUAAACGAGUGGAACUGACGAAAGAAUGAGAGCAAGUGCCUUCCUUUCCUCCCGUUUGAAAUUGAAAAAU